rnacentral:rRNA from 1 species
GACGAACGCUGGCGGCGUGCUUAACACAUGCAAGUCGAACGGUAAGGCUCCAGCUUGCUGGGGUACACGAGUGGCGAACGGGUGAGUAACACGUGGGUGACCUGCCCUGCACUUCGGGAUAAGCCUGGGAAACUGGGUCUAAUACCGGAUAGGACCGCACCGUGAGGGUGUGGUGGAAAGUUUUUUCGGUGUGGGAUGGGCCCGCGGCCUAUCAGCUUGUUGGUGGGGUAAUGGCCUACCAAGGCGGCGACGGGUAGCCGGCCUGAGAGGGUGGACGGCCACAUUGGGACUGAGACACGGCCCAGACUCCUACGGGAGGCAGCAGUGGGGAAUAUUGCACAAUGGGCGGAAGCCUGAUGCAGCGACGCCGCGUGGGGGAUGACGGCCUUCGGGUUGUAAACUCCUUUCACCAUCGACGAAGGGUUUCUGACGGUAGAUGGAGAAGAAGCACCGGCUAACUACGUGCCAGCAGCCGCGGUAAUACGUAGGGUGCGAGCGUUGUCCGGAAUUACUGGGCGUAAAGAGCUCGUAGGUGGUUUGUCGCGUCGUCUGUGAAAUUCCGGGGCUUAACUCCGGGCGUGCAGGCGAUACGGGCAUAACUUGAGUACUGUAGGGGAGACUGGAAUUCCUGGUGUAGCGGUGAAAUGCGCAGAUAUCAGGAGGAACACCGGUGGCGAAGGCGGGUCUCUGGGCAGUAACUGACGCUGAGGAGCGAAAGCAUGGGGAGCGAACAGGAUUAGAUACCCUGGUAGUCCAUGCCGUAAACGGUGGGCGCUAGGUGUGGGUUUCCUUCCACGGGAUCCGUGCCGUAGCUAACGCAUUAAGCGCCCCGCCUGGGGAGUACGGCCGCAAGGCUAAAACUCAAAGGAAUUGACGGGGGCCCGCACAAGCGGCGGAGCAUGUGGAUUAAUUCGAUGCAACGCGAAGAACCUUACCUGGGCUUGACAUAUACAGGAUCGCGCCAGAGAUGGUGUUUCCCUUGUGGCUUGUAUACAGGUGGUGCAUGGUUGUCGUCAGCUCGUGUCGUGAGAUGUUGGGUUAAGUCCCGCAACGAGCGCAACCCUUGUCUUAUGUUGCCAGCAUGUUGUGGUGGGGACUCGUAAGAAACUGCCGGGGUUAACUCGGAGGAAGGUGGGGAUGACGUCAAAUCAUCAUGCCCCUUAUGUCCAGGGCUUCACACAUGCUACAAUGGUCGGUACAGUGGGUUGCCAGUCCGUGAGGGCGAGCUAAUCCCGCAAAGCCGGUCUCAGUUCGGAUCGGGGUCUGCAACUCGACCCCGUGAAGUCGGAGUCGCUAGUAAUCGCAGAUCAGCAACGCUGCGGUGAAUACGUUCCCGGGCCU